UUAUGUUUAACAAACUAAGCUAAAAACAUUUGGUCUUCGCUGUAUUUGUUUAAAACGCAUACAUACCAUCUGUUAUUUCAAAUGAUACAGAUAUUAUAAGAUUAAUUAUUUGUACCAUUGUAAAAGACUAUGUGGCAGCUAAAAUGAUUCUGGUGCUUAGUUUCAAAAUAUUAGUCCCAAGUUAUUAGUAGAGCAUUUCUUUCUGAAAAUAAUAUUGUAUAAGUCAAAAUAUACCACGUUUCUUUUCCUAAGGUACAACCAAGUAAAAAGUUAUAAAAAUAGAUUAAUUAAAAUCAAUAGUGGGGUGGUAGUGCUUAGUGCUGCUAUCUGAUAGCUCAGGAAGGAAGAUGUAAGAAAAGAAACAAAUUACGCUUGAAAAGAUGUUGAGGACCAACUGUUAGCCCAGUUUAAAAGCUGUUGUUAUGGCUGAUGCACCUUCCUCCAUGGUUAAAAAAUAACUGACAUGUGGGGAACUUUCAAGUCAUCCAGGCAGAAGAGACAGGGCCUUAGGUGUUGAGAUUCUGCCUUUUAACUAAACUCCAAAAGGGUGACAGUACUUAGAAAAUAAAGCCAGAGCUGCACUCCACUGCAUGUCUGAACCAGAAGUGUUUGCCUCACCACUCUAAGUAGCUUAGCCCCAAGUUGAAGAUGCAGACUUAUAGCCUGCAGUGGAGCAAAGGUUUCAAUAUCAAACAUAUCCCAAAAAGGAGAGCAGAAAGCUAUUAAACCCCCCCACCCCAUGUCUAAUGAAAACAAAACAAGUUAAUAAAGACAGGAGUAAAGAAAAAGGUUACAAAAACAUUUGCCAGAAACAGUACCUAAGUCUAAUGAAACCCAAACAGUCACAAACCAGGAUAGCAAUGAAAUAAUGCAAAACAAAAAAGCAAAGAACGGGAGAAAAACCUCAGUGCUGAAGCAGCCAUUGGAUGGGUUGCUUCUUCUUAAAUAGUAGAUAGGAUGGCUGCCCACCAGCAAUAUCAAGUGGACCUGCCCCCAGGUUCCACACAUAAGGCACAAGGAAUAUGAUUUAAAGGGCUAGACACAAAAUAAGUAACAAAAUAUCCAUCAUUAACAAAAAGAAAAUAAAGAAGAUUUAAAAAAUAAUAUUAAAAAAAUAAACAACAAAAAAUACAAUUGAGCCAAGAGUAAAGACGUGGCUGAACCAUAACAAGAGGAUGGAAGAUGAUCAAGUGUAAGAGUCUGUGUCACACCCGUGAUCUCAGUAAAAGGCAAACUAUAUUCACAUGCUUGACACAUGUUAUGUAUCAGUGUGAAUUUAAGUUUAUUAUAUGUUUUGUUGUUGUUUUUCUUCAUUUUGAAUUAUUUUUCAUGUUUUCUUUGGUAUUUCUGCUGGUUUCACUUAUCAUUUGUUUAUUUGGGUUCUGUCCCCUUAAAUGAGUCUCCAUUCCCAGUGUUUUGUGGGUAGAGCCCCAUGGAGGCAGGGCCAACAAAAUGUUACAACUGCUGGCUCCUCUUCUAGCUAUUUAUUUUGGUCGGAAGUGACUGCCAACAGUCAGGUAUUGAAGUUGUUGGAGUCAUUAUUUUAACCAUCUACCACUUGCUAAGGAACUAAGGCCCCCAUUAAAUGAAUUUAUGAUACAUCCUGCCAAGAGAUCAGGGGGUCAGCAGCUCACAUUGGGCACCAGGUGGGAUCCAGCAUGACACACGGUGCCAGUCCAUUGCUGAUAUUAAACAAGAGGACCAAAGUGUACCAGACGUGGGACACACCAGGAGGUUGCAUGGCGUCCACCCAGCCCUCCAGUAAUGCCACCACAAGACAGAAGAAGACUGUCCCUCUCAGUCACUUCUCACCUGAACCAUGCAAAUGAAGACAAAUAGAAGAGCAGUUCACCUGUGGCUCCCACUCAAAAAGGAACUUGUUCAGAGAGUCCCGUCUAUGACUGAGAGUAAAAAACUUUGAAUCAUACAACAGAGUCAUCUCUCUCUCUGUCUUAUUAAUAGGCAGAAAGGCCUACUAGUGACAUACCAGUAGUUUUGAUUUAUUUUGGUAGACUAUUGAUCUUUCUUUAAUUGUUAAAGCAGUCUCACAUAGCUAGAUUUGAAAAACUUUAUCAGAGUUUAUAUUUUGCUUGUUAGAAUGCCCCCCUAUCUGUCACACUCUAUUCAGUAGAUUAUUAGUAGUUAGACAUAUUGGUACAGUUCAGUGAAAUUCGUACUUGCAUGUGCAACCAACAUACAACAAUUCACCAUUCUCUAGCACCAUGACAAACAAGAAUGUAUUACAAUACAUAACUUCAUCCUAUUUAAUAGAAAACACACUCUGGCAUACUCCUUACUCCUGUUUCUAUGCCCUCAUGUCUUGAAACCUAGUGAAGAAAACCCUGAAAAAACCUCAUUAUAGUUAUGUGUGUAUAAUAUGACAAUAUGUUCGUGACAGGUCAGAAGUAAGAAACCAUAAAAUGCAAAAUGCUGUAGGUCAGAGGCAGUGGUUCCUAGUCCACUACACAUUAAACCAAUUUGGACAGGUUAGUAGUGGUUAGAAGUGCUACCGCAGUCUCAAGGACAAGCAUCCAAAUUUCUGAUCAUCCACUGCCUGUGUGAGUCUUUCUAGUGUCAUCUAAAUUUCCUCCCACUGGCAGCUGAUGUCUCUAAAUUAGACCCGUGUUGGCAUGUGUGGGUGUCCUGUGAUGGACUGGCACCUUUCCAGGGUUAGUUCUUGUGUCAUGUGCAAUGCUGCUAGGUGUGGUUUCAACGGUCCAUAGCCAUGUAAAUGUCAUGAUCGAUCUGAAUGAAAUGAUCUGCUGGUGUUUGUUUGAGCAGCAGAGAUGCAAACUAGAAUGUCAACAAACAGGAGUCAACAGCAGAAAACAGAACCAUUGACACAUUGAUGCCAAAACAAAAAACAGAAUCAGAAGUCAAAAGCUAAAGUUAAGGAGACAAAUUACUCUUAAAAUGUAAAGAAAACUGGCAAAUCUUUACUUUAAAAAGAUUAAAGGUCAGAUGUUCAGGUAUGCAUGCUACCCUAUUUUAAAUUGGAGAUACAAUGAAGUCAAGUGGGACAUGUCAUCAGCAUCACGUUCAACCACCACACUAUAGUAGCUGAACAUCCUGAAAACCGAAGAAAAUAAAAAUGCCAGACAUGCAGCAUACUGUAAUGAAACAUAUGCAAUAGUAACGACACAUAUGUUACAACACAAAUCAUACUGUACACUGCAAGAUUGAACUCCGAUGCUCCUCGAAAUUUAUAGAACGGCAUUUCCUGUUCAUGUGUAGUUGUGUAGUAUUAGUGUUACCAAGGACAGUUAUGAUACUUUAUUCUUUAUUUCAUAUUAUUUAAAUUAUUGUUAAUAUUAUUUAUUCUAAUUAAAAGACUAAAAUUUAAAUCUAA